GUUACCUACGGGACGCAGCAGUGGGGAAUAUUGCACAAUGGGGGAAACCCUGAUGCAGCAACGCCGCGUGAAGGAAGACGGUUUUCGGAUUGUAAACUUCUGUUCUUAGUGAAGAAGAAUGACGGUAGCUAAGGAGCAAGCCACGGCUAACUACGUGCCAGCAGCCGCGGUAAUACGUAGGCGGCAAGCGUUGUCCGGAAUUACUGGGGGUAAAGGGAGCGCAGGCGGGAAGCCAAGUCAGCUGUGAAAACUCUGGGCUUAACUUGUAGAACGCAGUUGAAACUGGUUUUCUUGAGUGAAG
rnacentral:rRNA from 1 species